rnacentral:rRNA from 1 species
UUAAGCGACUAAGCGUACACGGUGGAUGCCCUGGCAGUCAGAGGCGAUGAAGGACGUGCUAAUCUGCGAUAAGCGUCGGUAAGGUGAUAUGAACCGUUAUAACCGGCGAUUUCCGAAUGGGGAAACCCAGUGUGUUUCGACACACUAUCAUUAACUGAAUCCAUAGGUUAAUGAGGCGAACCGGGGGAACUGAAACAUCUAAGUACCCCGAGGAAAAGAAAUCAACCGAGAUUCCCCCAGUAGCGGCGAGCGAACGGGGAGCAGCCCAGAGCCUGAAUCAGUGUGUGUGUUAGUGGAAGCGUCUGGAAAGGCGCGCGAUACAGGGUGACAGCCCCGUACACAAAAAUGCACAUGCUGUGAGCUCGAUGAGUAGGGCGGGACACGUGGUAUCCUGUCUGAAUAUGGGGGGACCAUCCUCCAAGGCUAAAUACUCCUGACUGACCGAUAGUGAACCAGUACCGUGAGGGAAAGGCGAAAAGAACCCCGGCGAGGGGAGUGAAAAAGAACCUGAAACCGUGUACGUACAAGCAGUGGGAGCACAGAGCAAUCUGUGUGACUGCGUACCUUUUGUAUAAUGGGUCAGCGACUUAUAUUCUGUAGCAAGGUUAACCGAAUAGGGGAGCCGAAGGGAAACCGAGUCUUAACUGGGCGUUAAGUUGCAGGGUAUAGACCCGAAACCCGGUGAUCUAGCCAUGGGCAGGUUGAAGGUUGGGUAACACUAACUGGAGGACCGAACCGACUAAUGUUGAAAAAUUAGCGGAUGACUUGUGGCUGGGGGUGAAAGGCCAAUCAAACCGGGAGAUAGCUGGUUCUCCCCGAAAGCUAUUUAGGUAGCGCCUCGUGAAUUCAUCUCCGGGGGUAGAGCACUGUUUCGGCAAGGGGGUCAUCCCGACUUACCAACCCGAUGCAAACUGCGAAUACCGGAGAAUGUUAUCACGGGAGACACACGGCGGGUGCUAACGUCCGUCGUGAAGAGGGAAACAACCCAGACCGCCAGCUAAGGUCCCAAAGUCAUGGUUAAGUGGGAAACGAUGUGGGAAGGCCCAGACAGCCAGGAUGUUGGCUUAGAAGCAGCCAUCAUUUAAAGAAAGCGUAAUAGCUCACUGGUCGAGUCGGCCUGCGCGGAAGAUGUAACGGGGCUAAACCAUGCACCGAAGCUGCGGCAGCGACGCUUAUGCGUUGUUGGGUAGGGGAGCGUUCUGUAAGCCUGUGAAGGUGUGCUGUGAGGCAUGCUGGAGGUAUCAGAAGUGCGAAUGCUGACAUAAGUAACGAUAAAGCGGGUGAAAAGCCCGCUCGCCGGAAGACCAAGGGUUCCUGUCCAACGUUAAUCGGGGCAGGGUGAGUCGACCCCUAAGGCGAGGCCGAAAGGCGUAGUCGAUGGGAAACAGGUUAAUAUUCCUGUACUUGGUGUUACUGCGAAGGGGGGACGGAGAAGGCUAUGUUGGCCGGGCGACGGUUGUCCCGGUUUAAGCGUGUAGGCUGGUUUUCCAGGCAAAUCCGGAAAACUAAGGCUGAGGCGUGAUGACGAGGCACUACGGUGCUGAAGCAACAAAUGCCCUGCUUCCAGGAAAAGCCUCUAAGCAUCAGGUAACAUCAAAUCGUACCCCAAACCGACACAGGUGGUCAGGUAGAGAAUACCAAGGCGCUUGAGAGAACUCGGGUGAAGGAACUAGGCAAAAUGGUGCCGUAACUUCGGGAGAAGGCACGCUGAUAUGUAGGUGAGGUCCCUCGCGGAUGGAGCUGAAAUCAGUCGAAGAUACCAGCUGGCUGCAACUGUUUAUUAAAAACACAGCACUGUGCAAACACGAAAGUGGACGUAUACGGUGUGACGCCUGCCCGGUGCCGGAAGGUUAAUUGAUGGGGUCAGCGCAAGCGAAGCUCUUGAUCGAAGCCCCGGUAAACGGCGGCCGUAACUAUAACGGUCCUAAGGUAGCGAAAUUCCUUGUCGGGUAAGUUCCGACCUGCACGAAUGGCGUAAUGAUGGCCAGGCUGUCUCCACCCGAGACUCAGUGAAAUUGAACUCGCUGUGAAGAUGCAGUGUACCCGCGGCAAGACGGAAAGACCCCGUGAACCUUUACUAUAGCUUGACACUGAACAUUGAGCCUUGAUGUGUAGGAUAGGUGGGAGGCUUAGAAGUGUGGACGCCAGUCUGCAUGGAGCCGACCUUGAAAUACCACCCUUUAAUGUUUGAUGUUCUAACGUUGACCCGUAAUCCGGGUUGCGGACAGUGUCUGGUGGGUAGUUUGACUGGGGCGGUCUCCUCCUAAAGAGUAACGGAGGAGCACGAAGGUUGGCUAAUCCUGGUCGGACAUCAGGAGGUUAGUGCAAUGGCAUAAGCCAGCUUGACUGCGAGCGUGACGGCGCGAGCAGGUGCGAAAGCAGGUCAUAGUGAUCCGGUGGUUCUGAAUGGAAGGGCCAUCGCUCAACGGAUAAAAGGUACUCCGGGGAUAACAGGCUGAUACCGCCCAAGAGUUCAUAUCGACGGCGGUGUUUGGCACCUCGAUGUCGGCUCAUCACAUCCUGGGGCUGAAGUAGGUCCCAAGGGUAUGGCUGUUCGCCAUUUAAAGUGGUACGCGAGCUGGGUUUAGAACGUCGUGAGACAGUUCGGUCCCUAUCUGCCGUGGGCGCUGGAGAACUGAGGGGGGCUGCUCCUAGUACGAGAGGACCGGAGUGGACGCAUCACUGGUGUUCGGGUUGUCAUGCCAAUGGCACUGCCCGGUAGCUAAAUGCGGAAGAGAUAAGUGCUGAAAGCAUCUAAGCACGAAACUUGCCCCGAGAUGAGUUCUCCCUGACUCCUUGAGAGUCCUGAAGGAACGUUGAAGACGACGACGUUGAUAGGCCGGGUGUGUAAGCGCAGCGAUGCGUUGAGCUAACCGGUACUAAUGAACCGUGAGGCUUAACCUU